CGAGACCACUUGGUUCCUGCAAUUUAAGUCUAAAUUCUUAGGUCCACGUGUGAAAGAUAAAAUGAAUGUCAAUUGCGAUUGGAAAAAAUCAGGAAUUGAAUGAGAUUUGCAAGACCUAGUUUCUUAAACGGAAAUUGAGCCCUAUUUUGUGGGAAAUUAGUUUUGCAGACUUUCUUUAAAAAAAAAAAUCUAAAACUUUUGUUCAGCAGCUGCUCCACUUUUCCCUGCAGUUUCAGAGUGAGCGAGAACCUGCAGCAGUCUUUAAACGGCAAUGCACUUGGACAUCCUCAGUGGGAACAUCAACAGGCAUGACUCUGGUUUAUUACUUAUCAACAUGCAUCACAAGAGAUCUUUCAUCUCGUAUACCUAGAGAUGCCAUUCCACAACCUCAUUCUGCACCGCUCCUGCAUCUGUCAGCCAUUGAACCUGGCCAAGAGUCUUUCUACAUUAUUCUCAAGAGAGUAUGAGUAAUUCCAGGACCCGAUAAGAAAUGCAACCAAUGUGUUUCAUGCACAUUAAAUGGUAGGAAAUGUCUGUUUACAAAAUGCAACUAGUUUCUGU